GUUGUGAGGUUAAGCGACUAUGCGUACUCGGUGGAUGCCCUGGCAGUCAGAGGCGAUGAAG
rnacentral:rRNA from 1 species